GAGGGGGAGGCGGCGGGGGCAGUGGAGAGGCGAUGGAUGCGCGUUUGGGAGUGAUUGACUUGGGUUGGACUCUGGAUCCCGUCCUGAUGGUGAUGGAGGGAGACGCCCCGCGCCAAACUUGCGCUGCACGGAAGCGCCUGCGCCGGUGGACGGUGGUGGACUGGUGCUGCUUCGUUUCCGUGCGCCUCGCCCUCCCCUCUCUUCUGCCUCCCCUGCGGGGUUACCCUCUCCGGGGCUGUGUGGGCCGCCGCUAUUGGCAAG
rnacentral:lncRNA from 1 species